rnacentral:tRNA from 1 species
ACAGUGGUUGUUCAGCAGUAGAAUUCCCACCUUCCAUGUGGGAGACCUGGGUUCAAUUCCUGGCCAAUGCU